UACAGAGGUCUCAAGCGUUGUUCGGAUUCAUUGGGCGUAAAGAGCUCGUAGGCGGUUUGUUGCGUCGGCCGUGAAAACCUGCAGCUUAACUGUGGGCGUGCGGUCGAUACGGGCAUCACUGGAGUUCGGCAGGGGAGACUGGAAUUCCUGGUGUAGCGGUGAAAUGCGCAGAUAUCAGGAGGAACACCGGUGGCGAAGGCGGGUCUCUGGGCCGAUACUGACGCUGAGGAGCGAAAGCGUGGGGAGCAAACAGG
rnacentral:rRNA from 1 species